UCUCUUCAGCGUCUUUCUCCCUCUCCCUCUCCCUCUCCCUCACCGCCGCUCCUCUCCCCUCCACUCUCACCGGUGCUCCUCCUCGCGUUGGCCGGCAACCGGAGCACCGAUUCACCUCCUUAUUGGUCACCGUCGCCUGAGAUCCUCUCUCUCCCUCUCGGCUCUGUUUUUCUAUCUCACAAAAACCCAUACAGCUUCACAUACACGCACACACAUGGGUUCUUCAAAUAGGUAACAAGGGCUGCCCUAAAGCUUCCGGUAGCAAGAUUUACCAGAUCAUUUCCCACGAAUGAAAUGUUACAGUGACGGACUUUACGUCACUCAAUCUGAUUCAUUGUAGGCUUGCAGUAUUCCAUGGUUAGGUUUAGUUUCUUCUUUAUUAAUGGGUUUCUAAUAAUUUUCAUUGCAGAGAGACAGAGUCGCGUUGCCAUUGUUGUUAAGGCUACAGGUGAAAGCUCUGAAUCUUCGACUUCUCUGAGUGUUGUUAAAUCCGUACAAAAUGUUAUUAGGGGAUUGGUGGAUCGGCUUCUGAAUUCUCAGUAUCCCAAAUCCUUUAUGUGUUGAAGCCAAUAAAAUAUGUAGGCAUUAAAGUUUGGCAAAAUGAAGGAUCUGAUAAUGUUAAUCAAGUCUUCCCCCUUUGCGGAAGUUCAAAACAUUUUUAUAUACUGCAAAUUUCAAUAUGAAACUGAUUUGAUAAGCAAAUACUUAAGCGACAACAAUAUUCAAGCAAUGAGUUACCACAGUGGUAUACCCUCAAAGGAUCGAAGUCAUAUUCAGGAAUCAUUUUGUUCCAACAAGAUAAGAGUGGUUAUCCAUUACACUUUACCAGAAAGCUUGGAAGAGUAUGUUCAGGAGAUUGGACGUGCUGGACUCGAUGGUAGAUUAUCUUAUUGCCAUCUCUUUUUUUAUGAUAGCACAUAUUUUAAAAUUCGUAGUCUAACAUACAGGUGAUUCAAUGCAUUUCAUAUUCUGUUUAGCUUUGAUUUGUGGU